rnacentral:lncRNA from 1 species
AUGAGCAAGUUCCACUCUCUGAUUAUGACAGACAAGAGGCAUGCUAGCAUGGAAAACAUCACUGUCAGGAACCAGCAAUGUCAUGCAAAGAAACCAAACCCUUGUGAUAAAAAGGGAGAAGAAAAAUCAUUGGGAAGGUUCCUGUGAAAAACAGAAGUGGAAGCUGGAUGUGGUGGGAGUCUGACUAUAAGAGAUGCUGUCCACCUCAGGUGGUAAGGAUGGUCUUCUCCUUGUCAGUCCAGAUGCACCUUCCAUGAGGUGUACUGGGUGGGAUGAUUUCCACAUCUGCUGUUCUUGCAACAUAUGCAGUUAGGGGGAAUGGUAUGCUGGAGUCAAGCCUAAGUAGGUGAUGGUGGAUUGCUGGGUUAAAUACUGAG